GACGAACGCUGGCGGCGUGCUUAACACAUGCAAGUCGAACGGAAAGGCCCUGCUUUUGUGGGGUGCUCGAGUGGCGAACGGGUGAGUAACACGUGAGUAACCUGCCCUUGACUUUGGGAUAACUUCGGGAAACUGGGGCUAAUACCGGAUAGGAGCUCCUGCUGCAUGGUGGGGGUUGGAAAGUUUCGGCGGUUGGGGAUGGACUCGCGGCUUAUCAGCUUGUUGGUGGGGUAGUGGCUUACCAAGGCUUUGACGGGUAGCCGGCCUGAGAGGGUGACCGGCCACAUUGGGACUGAGAUACGGCCCAGACUCCUACGGGAGGCAGCAGUGGGGAAUACUGCACAAUGGGCGGAAGCCUGAUGCAGCAACGCCGCGUGCGGGAUGACGGCCUUCGGGUUGUAAACCGCUUUCGCCUGUGACGAAGCGUGAGUGACGGUAAUGGGUAAAGAAGCACCGGCUAACUACGUGCCAGCAGCCGCGGUGAUACGUAGGGUGCGAGCGUUGUCCGGAUUUAUUGGGCGUAAAGGGCUCGUAGGUGGUUGAUCGCGUCGGAAGUGUAAUCUUGGGGCUUAACCCUGAGCGUGCUUUCGAUACGGGUUGACUUGAGGAAGGUAGGGGAGAAUGGAAUUCCUGGUGGAGCGGUGGAAUGCGCAGAUAUCAGGAGGAACACCAGUGGCGAAGGCGGUUCUCUGGGCCUUUCCUGACGCUGAGGAGCGAAAGCGUGGGGAGCGAACAGGCUUAGAUACCCUGGUAGUCCACGCUGUAAACGGUGGGUACUAGGUGUGGGGUCCAUUCCACGGGUUCCGUGCCGUAGCUAACGCUUUAAGUACCCCGCCUGGGGAGUACGGCCGCAAGGCUAAAACUCAAAGGAAUUGACGGGGCCCCGCACAAGCGGCGGAGCAUGCGGAUUAAUUCGAUGCAACGCGUAGAACCUUACCUGGGUUUGACAUGGAUCGGGAGUGCUCAGAGAUGGGUGUGCCUCUUUUGGGGUCGGUUCACAGGUGGUGCAUGGCUGUCGUCAGCUCGUGUCGUGAGAUGUUGGGUUAAGUCCCGCAACGAGCGCAACCCUUGUUCACUGUUGCCAGCACGUUAUGGUGGGGACUCAGUGGAGACCGCCGGGGUCAACUCGGAGGAAGGUGGGGAUGACGUCAAGUCAUCAUGCCCCUUAUGUCCAGGGCUUCACGCAUGCUACAAUGGCUGGUACAGAGAGUGGCGAGCCUGUGAGGGUGAGCGAAUCUCGGAAAGCCGGUCUCAGUUCGGAUUGGGGUCUGCAACUCGACCUCAUGAAGUCGGAGUCGCUAGUAAUCGCAGAUCAGCAACGCUGCGGUGAAUACGUUCCCGGG
rnacentral:rRNA from 1 species